rnacentral:hammerhead_ribozyme from 1 species
ACACUGCUGAAGAGUCCCAAAAUAGGACGAAACGACCGUCCAGUGC